AUGUCCUGCGCAUCUCGCCGUAGGGGGUUGCGUGUGUGUGUGUGUGUGUGUGUGUGUGUGUGUGGACUAGCAGAUCCGGCAUUCAGCGCUCUCCCUGGGGGCGCAGCAGGGCGCGCAGGCCACUCGGAGCUUGGUGCGCUCUCUGGUCCUCCAUCACCCCACACCUGUAAGGAACAACCGGAAGGCAGGUUGGGGGCAGCUGCGUGUUCCCCACCUGCCCUUGCUGGAGAGGACUCCCAGCAGUCUCCUAAGUUCUGCGGAGACGUGGCAGCGUGGCCCUGGGACCGGCUGGUUCCCACGAAGGCCACGGACUCAUCCUCAGGAGAGCCGAUCACCCCACCUGGGGAGCCGCCCCUCCGCGCCCCUGGAGCCCCGCCCCCGAGGCCUCCUUCCUCCUCCUCCGAGCUUGCCUCUCACUGGGUCCCGGGGUUUCUGACUUCUGCCCGCCGGCUGCCGACUGGCCAACGCCAGGGGCACUGCGGAGUUCUGACCUCACAAAGCCCUAGUUCGGAGGCGGCUCUUUGCGCAGCCCUGGUCACAGCUGGCCUUCUCCGGGCGCGGGCAAGACCACCCGAACUGAGGAUGGGCCCUGGCCCCAGCAUGCCCUCAGACCCCGGGGUGUGGGAUCUCACACUUCUGCUCCUCUACGGUCCCCCAUCUGUAACUCGUGGCCAAAAACACCUGCCCUUGCGACCUCACAGAUGGGAGUCACACAUGGGAGAUGUGAGACGCCAUGUAGCACCGUGUGACUGCACCGGCCGGUACACUGCAGGCUCAGAGCCCUGUGCCGGCGUUGGAGUGGCAGAAUGUGUGGUGUAGGAAGACACUGGAUCUCAACAGGAGGCGGGCGCAGUUCUGGACUAGCACACCUUGGUGCACGGGGAAAGCUUGCUCCUCCUGUGACCUCAAUCCUCCCUUCCCACCCCCACCCGGCGCAGCAGCAGCAACUUUUGUUGGCCGCACGCUUCCCAUGGAAUGUACAGACCCUGCGCUCACCGUCCACUUGAGUGAGUGCCUAGCAGCCGGUGGCCAGGCAGGAGGUACUCAGCCUCAUCUUGAAGCAGCUGAUUGCCUCCGAAGUGCCUGGAGAAAGGGCCCAGUCCCUUCCCUGCACAUGCGGGUGUAUCUCCUGCUGGUUCUGUUCCUAAAACAGCCCUCAUGAAUCAGAGAAAAACAAUAAAAUGAUGAUUUACCCAAAAGCUUGACUCCUG
rnacentral:lncRNA from 1 species